CUCACAGAUGCUGCAGUGUGCCUUGCUGGCUAACCUCCUCUGUUCCAGUUCCUGAUCCACUUGAGCACAGGAGUCUCGAGCCAGAUCCCAGUCCCUCCUCCUUCUUGGCUGUCUUCUGUUGCCAUAUCAUCUUGUCCUUCAUUGGGGAACGUAUUCAUCAUUCCUCUUCCACAUGGUUCUCUUGGAGCUGUGAAUCGUACCACCAGCCCGUGCCCUGGCCACAGAGGUGGAUAUGAGACCAAACCCUGGCUGUGAUAGUCCAGUAGUGGACCUCCAAAGAUGGAGUUUUCCAUCCCUGUGUCUAUGGCUACUGACCCCUGGCUCUGUGGUCUGCCUGUCUCCUGGCUGGCUUAGCACGGCAGCGAACCACCGUCCUAUCAGGAAGCCCA